rnacentral:rRNA from 1 species
CACGUAAGUUGCGAGCGUUGUUCGGAAUUAUUGGGCGUAAAGGGCAUCUAGGCGGUUACCUAAGCUUGGUGUGAAAUGCCGGGGCUUAACUCCGGAACUGCAUUGAGAACUGGGUAGCUAGAGUCACUGAAGUGCAGCCAGAAUUCCUAGUGUAGGGGUGAAAUCUGUAGAUAUUAGGAAGAAUACCAAUGGCGAAGGCAGGCUGCAGGCAGAUGACUGACGCUGAAGUGCGAAGGUGCGGGGAGCAAAC